UGACUAGGAUUGUGCAGACUGUUUUUUGGG
rnacentral:piRNA from 1 species